rnacentral:sRNA from 1 species
CUUGGUCAUUUAGAGGAAGUAAAAGUCGUAACAAGGUUUCCGUAGGUGAACCUGCGGAAGGAUCAUUAGUGAAACUUCAAAAGUCGGCUCGUCCCGUACUGUGCUGGUGGAGACACAUGUGCACGUUCGAGGUGAGUCGCAAAUCCACACACCUGUGCAUCUAUGACUCUGAGUGCCGCUUUGCAUGGCCUUGACCGGCCUGGCGCUCGAGUACUUUCACACACUCUCGAAUGUAAUGGAAUGUCUUGUUGUGCGUAACGUACAAAACGAAACAACUUUCAACAACGGAUCUCUUGGCUCUCGCAUCGAUGAAGAACGCAGCGAAAUGCGAUAAGUAAUGCGAAUUGCAGAAUUCAGUGAGUCAUCGAAUCUUUGAACGCACAUUGCGCCCUGUGGUAUUCCGCAGGGCAUGCCUGUUCGAGCGUCAUUUCAACCCUCAAGCCUCGCUUGGUGUUGGGCCCUGCCCGCCGCGGCCGGCCCUAAAGACAGUGGCGGCGCCGCCUGGCCCUCAGCGUAGUACAGCUCUCGCUCCAGGGUCCGGCGGCAGCCUGCCAGAACCCCCAACUCUGUGGUUGACCUCGGAUCAGGUAGGGAUACCCGCUGAACUUAAGCAUAUCAAUAAGCGGAGGA